GGUUAGGGCCACAGUGCUCAGGGAAACACCCGUUCCCAUUCCGAACACGGAAGUUAAGCCUGGGCACGAGGUUGCUUGUACUCCCGAGUUGGGGGGAAGGCACCUUGCUCUAACUU
rnacentral:rRNA from 1 species